CGGUAAUUCCAGCUCCAAUAGCGUAUAUUAAAGUUGUUGCGGUUAAAAAGCUCGUAGUUGGAUUUCUGUGAAAGGCAAGCCGUCCGCACUAUGUGCGUGUAUGUGUUCUGACUUUUGCAUCCUCCUGAAGAACAGUUCUGUGAUUAAUUUCGCGGUCUGGAAUUCAGGACUUUUACUUUGAGGAAAUUAGAGUGUUCACGGCAAGCAAACGCUUUGAAUACAUUAGCAUGGAAUAAUAAUAUAGGACCUUGGUACUAUUUUGUUGGUUUCUAGAACUAAGGUAAUGAUAAAUAGGGACAGUUGGGGGCAUUCGUAUUAAGACGUCAGAGGUGGAAUUCUUGGAUUGUCUUACGACGAACUACUGCGAAAGCAUUUGCCAAGGAUGUUUUCAUUGAUCAAGAACGAAAGUAUGGGGAUCGAAGACGAUUAGAUACCGUCGUAGUCUAUACCAUAAACUAUGCCAACUAGAGAUUGGUGGUCGUAUUUUAUAUGACUCCAUCAGCACCUUAUGAGAAAUCAAAGUCUUUGGGUUCCGGGGGGAGUAUGGUCGCAAGGCUGAAACUUAAAGGAAUUGACGGAAGGGCACCACCAGGAGUGGAGCCUGCGGCUUAAUUUGACUCAACACGGGAAAACUUACCAGGUCCAGACAUAGUAAGGAUUGACAGAUUGAUAGCUCUUUCUUGAUUCUAUGGGUGGUGGUGCAUGGCCGUUCUUGGUUGGUGGAGUGAUUUGUCUGCUUUAUUGCGUUAACGAACGAGACCUUAGCCUGCUAAAUAGUAUCUCGUAUCUUCGGAUAUUAGAAUUACUUCUUAGAGGGACUUUGUGUAUCAAGCACAAGGAAGUUUGAGGCAAUAACAGGUCUGUGAUGCCCUUAGAUGUUCUGGGCUGCACGCGCGCUACACUGAUGCGUUCAAUAAGUAUAGAACCUUGUCCGAUAGGAUUGGGUAAUCUUUUGAAAACGCAUCGUGAUGGGGAUAGAUUAUUGUAAUUAUUAGUCUUCAACGAGGAAUUCCUAGUAAGGGUGAGUCAUCAGCUCAUCCUGACUACGUCCCUGCCCCUUGUACACACCGCCC
rnacentral:rRNA from 1 species